rnacentral:rRNA from 1 species
ANCUCUGCCCCGGGUGCGUCGCAGCCCCGGACCAAGGCGCCCGCCGGAGGACCAACCAAAACUCUUUUGUAUACCCCCUCGCGGGUUUUUUAUAUCUGAGCCAUCUCGGCGCCUCUCGUAGGCGUUUCGAAAAUGAAUCAAAACUUUCAACAACGGAUCUCUUGGUUCUGGCAUCGAUGAAGAACGCAGCGAAAUGCGAUAAGUAAUGUGAAUUGCAGAAUUCAGUGAAUCAUCGAAUCUUUGAACGCACAUUGCGCCCGCCAGUAUUCUGGCGGGCAUGCCUGUCCGAGCGUCAUUUCAACCCUCGAACCCCUCCGGGGGGUCGGCGUUGGGGAUCGGCCCUUUACGGGGCCGGCCCCGAAAUACAGUGGCGGUCUCGCCGCAGCCUCUCCUGCGCAGUAGUUUGCACACUCGCAUCGGGAGCGCGGCGCGUCCAUUGCCGUAAAACACCCAACUUUCUGAAAUGUUGACCUCGGAUCAGGUAGGAAUACCCGCUGAACUUAAGCAUAUCAAUAAGCGGAGGAAAAGA